CCUACGGGAGGCAGCAGUGAGGAAUAUUGGUCAAUGGGCGCUAGCCUGAACCAGCCAAGUAGCGUGAAGGAUGACUGCCCUACGGGUUGUAAACUUCUUUUAUAAAGGAAUAAAGUGCAGCACGUGUACUUCUUUGUAUGUACUUUAUGAAUAAGGAUCGGCUAACUCCGUGCCAGCAGCCGCGGUAAUACGGAGGAUCCGAGCGUUAUCCGGAUUUAUUGGGUUUAAAGGGAGCGUAGAUGGGUUGUUAAGUCAGUUGUGAAAGUUUGCGGCUCAACCGUAAAAUUGCAAUUGAUACUGGCAGUCUUGAGUACAGUUGAGGUAGGCGGAAUUCGUGGUGUAGCGGUGAAAUGCUUAGAUAUCACGAAGAACUCCGAUUGCGAAGGCAGCCUACUAAACUGUCACUGACAUUGAUGCUCGAAAGUGUGGGUAUCAAACAGGAUUAGAUACCCGGGUAGUC
rnacentral:rRNA from 1 species